rnacentral:rRNA from 1 species
GACGAACCGGUCGAACGUUAUUCGGACUCACUGGGCUUAAAGGGUGCGUAGGCGGCUUGGCAAGUUGGGUGUGAAAUCCCAGGGCUCAACCCUGGAAUUGCGCUCAAAACUGCCAAGCUUGAGGAAAGUAGGGGUGAGCGGAACUGAUGGUGGAGCGGUGAAAUGCGUUGAUAUCAUCAGGAACACCGGUGGCGAAAGCGGCUCACUGGACUUUUUCUGACGCUGAGGCACGAAAGCUAGGGUAGCGAACAGG